rnacentral:lncRNA from 1 species
GAUUCCUACAGAAAGGCAGUCCCUGCCUAUUACACAGAGAUUCUCUGUCCUUUUCAGUGCCCUUAACCAUGUACAUUUUCUCCUAAACCACCAUCCCAAGUACAGAGUUCAUGAACAGUUUCUCCAUUCCUGUACUGGUAGGUCACAAUGAGCACCAUGGAAACACUUCUUUUGUCACAAUGACUCCCAGCAAGACACCAGAGCCUUGGGCAGGGCUUCCCCAGUCUUGCCACACUGUCCAUCUGGGCUGGGAAUGGGAUGGGGGGCUGAUGAUCUCUGAGUCCUCAAUCAAGGAGUAGAACUUAUUUCCCAAGAAAAGACAAAAAAAUAGCUGGUUCAUCACUGCAACUAGCUGAUCACCAUUGGGACCCCUGGUCUUUCCUACUUUUUCUAACUGCCCUCUCCCUGCAGGAAAAAAGCCAGUCUUCUCAAGAAUCUUACUUCUCCGCAGAGGCUCUGGCCACAUUCAGACACCAGUUCCUGAGAGAUCUGUGCAGGAGGGCCCAGCUUAUCAGCACUGUCUCUAGAUCCUCAGCUCUGAGAGCUCGGCUAUCUCUCUACUCCCAAGACCACCUUCCAUUGGACAACAUCUGGUAUCAGGAAGAACUGAAGCAGCACUCGGCAUCCAGGCAGUGUGGGACAGGGUUCAGAGACAGUGAAAGGUGGUCUGCUACAAUCAGGUCAUCCUCCUCCCUCUCCUAUGUCUACUCCUCCUCUGUACUGGCUGAGAAUAUAGCAGGUCACCCAGGGAUAUCAACUGAACAUGGCACAACAAGAUUCAUAUGAACAGGAACAAACCUUCUCACAGCUGGAAGAGACAACACAGUAGGAGGGAAGCAGUCCCAAGCUCAAGGGAAAGAGUCUGAGACACCUUCACUCCCAGUUUGAGGGCUCUCACAAGAUCACAAAGUUGACAUCUACAUUUUCAGAGGACCAAGCCCUGACCCAUACAGACUUCCUGAUUGUCAUUUUGAUCUGUGUGAGCCCCUGUGAGCCCUGCUUAGUUAAUUCUGUGGGUGGGUUUUCUUAGUGUCCUUGACUCCUCUGGCUCCUAAGAUCCUGUCUCUCCUUCUUAGCUUGUCAUCUCUGAGCUCCAAAGGGAGGAAUCCAAUUGAGAUCUUCAAGUGCGGCUCUUUCUGUGCCCAGUGUUUGGCUGUGGGAGUCUGCAUCGAGUCAAGCAGUUUUUUAAACUGAGUCCAGCAGCUGAAAUGCACAUAUAGGAAAACCCAGGAGACAUCAUUUUCUUGUGCAUGUUCACAUUGUGCAUUUGAUGAACUCAAAUGGUAGGAGAUUUUUGGCAUUAUGGGAGCUCUGGAUUUCCAGUUGAAGGUUGUAUGUGGAUAGGAUUUUGCAGGAUGGGUAUUAACCCUCAGGGAGAACAUCCAUGUUUAGUCCAUGGCAGGUGUAGGGCAAGGUGCCCACCAUAUGGAGGAAGUAUGGAAUCUCACAUAUGGCCAGAGGCUCCUUAAGUAGAUACUAAGAGAAGGUAAGGAAUGUACAAGGGUAGAGUGGGACAAGAACAGAGAUAUCCAUCAUUGUGAAUGAAAAGAGAUGAGUAAAGUCUGAGAGUGACAAUUGCUUACAUCCCCAGGGUAAAAGUCUGUACUUCAGCAGACAGAAUUCUAUAAUGCACCCCUUCCCCCACCCCAACGUGUGGGAGUUAAGUGUCUCUCUGGCAUGUUCUUUGUCAAGUAGCACAUGGGGAUGGUGCACAUACACAAUUCAUAUUUCCAAGACCUUCAUCUCAUAGGGACAUUUCCUGGUAUAGAAAUAUGGUCACAGGCCCCAAUCUGAGCCUUGCACCCAAGAAGUGCUAAGAAGAGACUCUCCUGAGGACUAGGGUGCACCAGGCUUGUGACUGGAUACAGGGAAACUUUUCUCACAUACUCAGUGCAUACCUUAGCAAUGGAUGGGUUGUAGCAUUCAUAGAAAAUGUUUAACUCUGAUUUCCCUACAGAGCCCUCUGAAUGAAGAAAUCAUUGUUACUAGACAUACCUAGACAACCAUUUCAGCCAAAAUAAUUGAGAAAGACCCACAAAGAGAGAAGAUGGAUGAAGAGCAAUACCAAAAGAGUUCAAAAUCACCUGAAAAGAAGCUAAAGACAGUUGAAUUCAAGAAAAAGAAAUGCGUUAGGUUUCUGUUACCCCAUAAAGCUGACAAGGAAAAGAAACCCUCUUCCCUACGAGAUACAGAUGAGUCAAAGUUCAGAUGUGAAUGCCGCCACUGCCAGAUGUGUGGGGGGAACACAUCUGGGGUCUCUGUGGGAACUAGGACUGAAGCAGUCUCUCCGUCAUCCUCCUGGGAAAAGCUAACACUAGACCUCAGUAACUUGACACUCAACCCUCAUACCACCCAGCCCCAUCUUGUGCAAGACACCAUAUCCAAAGGAGAGAACAAAAUGCAGUGGCCAAGGAAAAACAAAAGGAUGUUUCAAAAGGUUCUCUACGAAUGGACAGAAUAACUCUGACACUGUCAUCGUCAUGAGAAGGAAGAUCCAAACCUACAGGGCCAUGAGUAUCAACAUCUUUUGGGGAGCAAGUUCAGGAGGAGUAAUGUCCAACCUGGUGAUAAUAAUACAGCCUGAUCAUGACUCUAAUCUAUUCCACAAAUAUAGCCAUCUUUUCCUUGGUAAUUUAGGCAUCUUACCUUAGGCAUUCUGGGAAGAGAUGCUCCUCAGCAUGGAUGACCAGAUUGCGAUAUUUCUACACUCCCCAUGUCAGUGUUCCCAUGGGAUUUGCUACCGAUUUUCCCCUCCUCGGGUUUGAGGCUUUUCCUCCCUUACAUUGUUGCCAGUAAAGUUAGAACAUCUAGGACAAUGACAGCCAGAAUUUGAAUGGAACAGCAGAGGGAGACAAAGAUACACAGGACUCCAGAUCAGGCUAAUCUUUCUGCUGGAGACCUACAUAAGGACAUUGGAAGAAGGAAGAUUCCCUCUUCUUCACCUGCUUACCUUAUGGGACUGAGCAGCUACUAGAUGUGACUUACAUUCACAGCUGGCCUUUGUUGG